CGAGGAGAGAGAUAUUUUUGUUCUUCCUUUUUUUUCCAUUAAGAAGAGGAGGAGAUUCUAGACCCCAACCCCAACUAACAAAAACAAAAUCGAAUCUCUUCUGUCUUUACUGAAUCCGUAUCGACUGUUCCCCCUUCUAUCUCUUCUUCUCUCAAUAGAAUCACACAAUUUCAAUUUUCAUAAAUGAAUCGAAAUGAGGGUUUGAUUUUUGUUCUGUGUUUGUAAAUAGAAUUAUGCCUACAUUUACAGCAAUAUCUAUAGAUAGUUUGUUAGAUCGAAGCUUAGCUCCAAGAAAAUCGAUACUGAAAUUGGAGAGGAGAAACACAACCCCUAUUCCACCAACAGUCAAGGAAAUUCCUCCUCCUAAACAAUCACAACAAUCUCCAUCUCCAUUGUUAUAUACAACACCUGAAACAACUCCGAUUCCGGAUUCUUCAUCAUCAUUUCCGCCUUCUCCAUAUAUUAUUAAUCAUAAACGACGCGGUCCUCGUCUACGUAGCGUUUCUCAAGACCAAAUCUCAGCUUCUUUCCAUCAAAAUGGCGGUGAUAAGGAUGAUGUCAAAGAUGUGACGGUGGUUCCGGAGUUUUCUUUUGCUUCGUCGGCUCCGGUUUGUGAGGAGGAGGUGGUGGUAGUGGGUUCGAAUGGUUGUUGUGAUGGUGUGGUGGAGAAGACGGAGAAUUUGGUGAUGAAUUCUGGUUCUAAUGGAUGCCAGAGAGAUUAUGAGUUUGAUCACUUAUUUGAUUCUCAAGAACCUCAAGAAUCCACGAGUUCGAUUGGGAUUAGUAAAAACGUUACAGAUGUGGUGGUGGAGGAUAAUGGUGGAGUUGAGCAGGACGAAUCUUUGGUUCUGACUACACCAGUGGGGGAGUUUUAUGAUGCGUAUGAAGAACUCUCUAGUGACGGUGGCGCAUCGUCCUCUCUCCGAGAUUUUGAGGCUGAGCUGCGUGAAAUAAGAUUAAAUUUGCUAAUGGAGAUAGAAAAACGAAAGCGAGCCGAGGAAGCCUUCAAUAAAAUGCAAACACAUUGGCAGCAGCUCCAGCGUCGUUUGGCUGUUAUAGGGUUGAAACUACCUGCAGACCCGAUGGUCACAGAAAAAGAUAAGGAUUCGACUUUAGAUAUAGCAGCAGACCUGUGCCAACAAAUUCAUAAUGCACGGAUUGUUUCAAAUUCUAUUGGUCGGGCGACUGCAAAGGCUGAGGCUGAGAUGGAGAUAAAGUCUCAGAUUGAGUCAAAGAACUUUGAGAUUGCUCGCUUGUCAGACAGGCUGCAUUACUACGAAGUUGUGAAUGCUGAGAUGUCACAAAGGAACCAAGAAGCUAUUGAGAUGGAACGGCGUCUUAGGCAAAGAAGGAAAAAUAGACAAAGAUGGGGUAUUUGGAGUUCGGUUGGUGCUGCCGUUGUUGUUGGCACUGUGGCUCUACUAUGGUCUUCUGAUAGUGGAUCAUCAUCAUCAGCAACAUCUGUUUCUGAUUCUCCAGGCAGUGCUGACACAUAAGCUGGCCCAUUAAACCAAAAUAAUACGCCACCAUACUUGCUUGCAGUGUUGAUCAAUCAAAUACCUCUUCUUCUGCAAGGCUCUGUAUAGUACUAAUAAUGAAAUUGUAUAAGCCGUCAAAUGAUAACUGGUCAGGUCCAUGGACGUAUUUGGACAUCCAAGAGAAAUUUUUGUAGUUUGAUAUACUGCUUUGUGAAUCAGGUGGUCAUUUCAACCAACCUCUCUAUUCACCAAUUAUAUCAUGUAUUAUUAUUAUAUGCAGUGCACGUACAGUUUAGCGCAUAUCACGGCUGGAACAGAUCCCAGGACGCUCCUCUCAUGCUCCCUUUCUCGUUUUUCUCUGCUCAUCUUGGCAAUGCCUUGGGAAUAUAGUGAGAGCUGCGGGAUACGCGAUGCAAGCUAGACUGCUAGAGCGGGGACAGUAAUUCUUGUUUUGUUUCAUCUAUACUCCAAUUACCUGGGACCAAGUACCUCCUAAAUGCACAUGAUGUUCAGGAUCUUCUUUUAUUAAAGAUAAGUUGGCCAGGCCUUGGUCCACAACAACACAAAAGAGAAAGAAGCAACGUGAUUGUGCAAGUACAUGCAUUUCAGUUUAUGGUUGUGGAAUCUCAUCUCAUGAAGGAUCAAACUUCACAGGGCACCACUCCUACCCAAAAAUUAUGGCUCGAAUGGCGUGUAUUUACGCUAGGGUACCCCAGACCCGUACACCACGUACCAGUCACAUGGGUUGCCUCUUCCUCUCCCAUGUUCCUUGCGUCUGCCAUUAUAGCACCUUGGUUGCUCAUUUCACAUUUUUCACUAGUCAGUCCUACUAAUGUGACCAUCUGAUAAACAAAAAUACGUUCCAUGAUUCCAUGAACAUAGCACUGAACAACAAACACUUUUAAGAAAAGGUUAGGUCUCGACUCUGAACCAAUCAGUACCAAAGACAAGGAAAAGCAAAGUAUCAAUCUUCUUUGCUUUCUUUCUUCCCCUCCUCCUCCUUUUGAUAUAUUCAGCUUUGAUUCCUUAAUUCCCUCCAUAACUCUGCAUGCUUUUGCAUCAAUCAAUUGCGUAAUUGCCUUGUUUUCUAA